rnacentral:rRNA from 1 species
GAUGAACGCUGGCGGCGUGCCUAAUACAUGCCAGUCGAGCGAACAGAUGAGGAGCUUGCUCCUCUGACGUUAGCGGCGGACGGGUGAGUAACACGUGGAUAACCUACCUAUAAGACUGGGAUAACUUCGGGAAACCGGAGCUAAUACCGGAUAAUAUAUUGAACCGCAUGGUUCAAUAGUGAAAGACGGUUUUGCUGUCACUUAUAGAUGGAUCCGCGCCGCAUUAGCUAGUUGGUAAGGUAACGGCUUACCAAGGCAACGAUGCGUGGCCGACCUGAGAGGGUGAUCGGCCACACUGGAACUGAGACACGGUCCAGACUCCUACGGGAGGCAGCAGUAGGGAAUCUUCCGCAAUGGGCGAAAGCCUGACGGAGCAACGCCGCGUGAGUGAUGAAGGUCUUCGGAUCGUAAAACUCUGUUAUUAGGGAAGAACAAAUGUGUAAGUAACUAUGCACGUCUUGACGGUACCUAAUCAGAAAGCCACGGCUAACUACGUG